rnacentral:rRNA from 1 species
GACGAACGCUGGCGGCGUGCUUAACACAUGCAAGUCGAGCGAUGAAGCACCUUCGGGUGUGAAUUAGCGGCGAACGGGUGAGGAACACGUGAGAAAUCUGCCUUCAACACUGGGAUAACUCCGGGAAACCGGGGCUAAUACCGGAUAUGAAACCUGCGGGCAUCCGCGGGUUUGGAAAGUUUUUCGGUUGAAGAUGAUCUCGCGGCCUAUCAGCUUGUUGGUGAGGUAAUGGCUCACCAAGGCGACGACGGGUAGCCGGGCCGAGAGGGCGACCGGCCACACUGGGACUGAGACACGGCCCAGACUCCUACGGGAGGCAGCAGUGGGGAAUAUUGGGCAAUGAAGGAAACUCUGACCCAGCGACGCCGCGUGCGGGAUGAAGGCCUUCGGGUUGUAAACCGCUUUCAGCAGGGAAGAAGCGAAAGUGACGGUACCUGCAGAAGAAGCACCGGCUAACUAUGUGCCAGCAGCCGCCGUAA